AGGCUCUCCACAGAAGUGGUUGAGGAUUUGAGAAGAGCUUGCAGAUGAUCAAGGAGCGACACGUGCAGGGAUGGCUUGAAAAGGGUAUGGCUGCUUUCUCUUCUGUUUAUCAGGUGUCCCAGGCAAUGUGGGCUGUGGUGUUAGUUCUUGAGAAUUGGAACAACGCAGGUGCUGAUGGUGGUCUUCUUUGGUAGGCAAAGAGGUGCCCGAAGCCCUGUCUUGUGUACCCUGAGCACUCCUUGCUGAGUAUGAAGCAUGCUUUCCAGCAGUUCCCAAAACUGUGUUGAAGCUGAAAUGCUGCGUCUGUUUUUUCUGUGUUGGGGUUGCACCUUGGUGAGUGUAGGGAUGGUUUUUAAGUGGAUGCAGUGGAGGGCCUGGCCCCAGUGUCCUGUAGUGUGUUUUGACCCGUCAGCAUAGCCUUUUGGUUCUCCGGUAGCCUACUUAAGUAAGUGAUUUUUCCUGUGAGUGGAAUGCAAUUGAUUUUUUUCUUUUUGGCGUGUAAUCAGUUCUGCUCCUAGACUUUUCUUUCCACGUAAAUAAAAGAUACGAAGAAAAAGAAAAGGUACGUUGUUUUUGGGAAACCGUGGGGUAGGGUUCCUUGACCACGUAAGUGCAGUAGUGCCUAGAGAGUGAUCAGGGUCACCUCCUUUAUCUCUAGAAAGUAAGUCUGUUUGGGCACACUUCAGCGCGGUGCCACCUGGGCACAUUUCUCAGGCGGAGCUACUGAGCAGGUGAGGUAAAGGAGCUGGGAACAGAGAGGUAUUGCACAAUGAUAUGUUGCCUUAGUAGUAGUGAACGUUGUGCAGGAGGUGGGUAUUAGGGCUGGCAUGCUGGUGAAUGCUGGUUCUCUGUGUUUUCAGAUGGGGAUGAGUCUGUUUAAACUAAUUCCAGUUCAAAAAGUUUCAGUUACUAGCUUGGUGAUAUUUUCAAUUCAAUAUUAAAACCUGCAGAGAAAGCAAAAGGGGAUUUUUGCUUCUAGAAUCACCACAGAUAUCUUGUCUGCUCUCUGCAUGCUUUUGAGAUAAAGCUGAUUUUAAAAAAGAAAGAAAAAAAAAACCAUCUGCUUCUCUUGCUCUUUACCUACUCUCUUGUGCUUUGCCCCUCAUCUUUCCCAGGUGAUUUGGUUUGGGUUCUGGGCGGGGACAAAAGGUAUAUGAGCCCCAGGCACGACAUCAGAGCUCCUUCUGCCUGGGCUGCUCUUUGGGGUCAGUGCUUUGUGUUUCCUUCAGUCAGUUGUAGGAUUCUCUAGGCAGGCUGGAGUUUAUGGAGUUCUAGAUUUCUAAGUGCUUGAAAUAGAGGGAUAUUUAGUAGAGGCUGCUGGCUCACUGGUUUUUGGGAUGGUCACAUAUGCUCCUGUUUUUGAGCUGUAUUUUAAUCUCUACACGUAUAAAAACACUUGUUUUAGUCCCCUGGAGAGUUUCACCAGCUUGAUUACAUGCUACAUGUGGCUUGAGAGUGUAGAUGCAGCAUCACCAAGAGACUGAGCAGGGUUGUAUCAGAGUCACCUUUUCAUCUGCAAAGGGUGCUUUGUGCAGUUGUGGAGAGGGAAGGGAAAUCUUCAUGUCAGGAAGCUCUGAGGGAAGGUGAGUGGUGUCAGCCAUGUCAUGCCUUAUCCGAAGCAAAGGGAAGACGCUCAGGAGUUUCCCUGUGAGGGUCCGAGGUGGCGUGGGUGAUGCUGGCCGCUCCUUUCAAGCUUGGACC